rnacentral:rRNA from 1 species
AUUGAACGCUGGCGGCAUGCCUUACACAUGCAAGUCGAACGGCAGCACGGGGCAACCUGGUGGCGAGUGGCGAACGGGUGAGUAAUGCAUCGGAACGUGCCAUUGAGUGGGGGAUAACGUAGCGAAAGUUGCGCUAAUACCGCAUAUUCUGUGCGCAGGAAAGCAGGGGACCGCAAGGCCUUGCGCUCUUUGAGCGGCCGAUGUCAGAUUAGCUAGUUGGUGAGGUAACGGCUUACCAAGGCGACGAUCUGUAGCGGGUCUGAGAGGAUGAUCCGCCACACUGGAACUGAGACACGGUCCAGACUCCUACGGGAGGCAGCAGUGGGGAAUCUUGCGCAAUGGGCGAAAGCCUGACGCAGCAACGCCGCGUGAGUGAUGAAGGCCCUCGGGUCGUAAAGCUCUGUCCUGGGAGAAGAAUUUUGACGGUAUCCCAGAAGAAAGCACCGGCUAACUCCGUGCCAGCAGCCGACGG